rnacentral:rRNA from 1 species
AACGAACGCUGGCGGCAUGCCUAACACAUGCAAGUCGAACGAGACCUUCGGGCCUAGUGGCGCACGGGUGCGUAACGCGUGGGAACCUGCCCUUAGGUUCGGAAUAACUCCCCGAAAGGGGUGCUAAUACCGGAUAAUGUCUUCGGACCAAAGAUUUAUCGCCUUUGGAUGGGCCGGCGUUGGAUUAGCUAGUUGGUAGGGUAAAAGCCUACCAAGGCGACGAUCCAUAGCUGGUCUGAGAGGAUGAUCAGCCACACUGGGACUGAGACACGGCCCAGACUCCUACGGGAAGCAGCAGUGGGGAAUAUUGGACAGUGGGCGAAAGCCUGAUGCAGCAAUGCCGCGUGAGUGAUGAAGGCCUUAGGGUUGUAAAGCUCUUUUACCCGGGAUGAUAAUGACAGUACCGGGAGAAUAAGCUCCGGCUAACUCCGUG